rnacentral:rRNA from 1 species
CCCUACGGGGGGCAGCAGUGGGGAAUAUUGCACAAUGGGGGAAACCCUGAUGCAGCAACGCCGCGUGAGUGAAGAAGUAUUUCGGUAUGUAAAGCUCUAUCAGCAGGGAAGAAGAUGACGGUACCUGAUUAAGAAGCCCCGGCUAACUACGUGCCAGCAGCCGCGGUAAUACGUAGGGGGCAAGCGUUAUCCGGAUUUACUGGGUGUAAAGGGAGCGUAGACGGCAUAGCAAGUCUGGAGUGAAAGCCCGGGGCCCAACCCCGGGACUGCUUUGGAAACUGUGUAACUGGAGUACAGGAGGGGCA